rnacentral:rRNA from 1 species
AGUAUGUGGCUUAAUUCGAUGCAACGCGAAGAACCUUACCAAGGCUUGACAUGCAUCUCUGGACACGUGAAAGCGUGCGAGCCUUCGGGGAAUUUGCACAGGUGCUGCAUGGCCGUCGUCAGCUCGUGUCGUGAGAUGUUGGGUUAAGUCCCGCAACGAGCGCAACCCUUGUGAUUAGUUGCCAGCACGUUAAGGUGGGAACUCUAGUCAGACUGCCCAGAUCAACUGGGAGGAAGGUGGGGACGACGUCAGGUCAGUAUGGCCCUUACGCCUUGGGCUGCACACGUACUACAAUGCCCAGCACAAUGAGAACCGAUACCGCGAGGUGGAGGAAAUCUGUAAAACUGGGCUCAGUUCGGAUUGGAGGCUGCAACUCGCCUCCAUGAAGUUGGAAUCGCUAGUAAUGGGGCAUCAUCUACGGCCCCGUGAAUACGUUCCCGGGUCUUGUACACACCGCCCGUCACAUCAUGGAA